rnacentral:lncRNA from 1 species
ACGCCCACUCGAAUGACAUCUCUCGCAGGCCACGCCCCGCGCACCUGUGCGCCAGGUUCUGCUGGAGAGAGCGGAGCUGAGUGAGUUUGUUCCGCGUCUUUUGUGAUUCUUUUUUAUUUGUUUUUAUUUGAACGUAGAUUAAAUUUAAAUAAUGUAAUUAUGUAGUGUAAACCUCGCAGGGGGAAAGGGGUAAAACACGCAUUUUCGUUGGGAGCUAGAUAACAUUUUUAUUGUAAGUCUUUGUUCACAAAAUCAAGCGUGUGCAUCCAUCCAAAAAAAAAAGUUUUUUCAUUAUUUUCCAGAGCAUUUUGUGUUUUUGCUCUUAUAUUCGUGGUAAAAAUUUCGCUUGCAACGAAUACUUAUUGGUUUCAAUGGUCUUAAAUUCUAAAUUCUGCUUUUUUUGUGUUUUCCGAUUAGCUUUGAGAAACUUUGGUUUCAAUUAUUUUUAAAUUAUGGUCUAAAUACUUGUGUUCUUGUUUUUCCAGUUUGGUGUCUGCGGGCAGGACAUGCUUGGCUCAGCUUCUGGAAUUACCGAUGAAAUGCAACGAAGUUCCAGUCUUCAUUCCGGUCGCUGCCUCGGAGAAACAGUAACGUGCUGUAUGUUUCUGUGUUUUUCCUUGUAGUUGCAUUCAAAUGUUUUUGUACUUUUUGUACUUUGUAGACUUGUAAAAGCGUUAACCAUUAAUGUAGCCGUGCUUUGACACUUUGUAAUUGAAAUGCAUGUUCAUUUUCACUUCGAAGCCUGUGC